rnacentral:rRNA from 1 species
GUGAGGAAUAUUGGACAAUGGGCGCAAGCCUGAUCCAGCCAUGCCGCGUGCAGGAAGACGCAUCUAUGGUGUGUAAACUGCUUUUGUACGGGAAGAAACACUCCCUCGCGAGGGAGCUUGACGGUACCGUAAGAAUAAGGAUCGGCUAACUCCGUGCCAGCAGCCGCGGUAAUACGGAGGAUCCAAGCGUUAUCCGGAAUCAUUGGGUUUAAAGGGUGCGUAGGCGGUUUAAUAAGUCAGUGGUGAAAGCCCAUCGCUCAACGAUGGAACGGCCAUUGAUACUGUUAGACUUGAAUUACAAGGAAGUAACUAGAAUAUGUAGUGUAGCGGUGAAAUGCUUAGAUAUUACAUGGAAUACCAAUUGCGAAGGCAGGUUACUACUUGUGGAUUGACGCUGAUGGACGAAAGCGUGGGGAGCGAACAGGAUUAGAUACCCUUGUAGUCC